rnacentral:rRNA from 1 species
UCCUACGGGUGGCAGCAGUGGGGAAUAUUGCACAAUGGGGGAAACCCUGAUGCAGCCAUGCCGCGUGUGUGAAGAAGGCCUUCGGGUUGUAAAGCACUUUCAGCGAGGAGGAAAGGUUGGCAGCUAAUACCUGUCAGCUGUGACGUUACUCGCAGAAGAAGCACCGGCUAACUCCGUGCCAGCAGCCGCGGUAAUACGGAGGGUGCAAGCGUUAAUCGGAAUUACUGGGCGUAAAGCGCACGCAGGCGGCUUGUUAAGUCAGAUGUGAAAGCCCCGGGCUCAACCUGGGAACUGCAUUUGAAACUGACAAGCUAGAGUCUUGUAGAGGGGGGUAGAAUUCCAGGUGUAGCGGUGAAAUGCGUAGAGAUCUGGAGGAAUACCGGUGGCGAAGGCGGCCCCCUGGACAAAGACUGACGCUCAGGUGCGAAAGCGUGGGGAGCAAACAGGAUUAGAUACCCGGGUAGUCA